rnacentral:rRNA from 1 species
GAUCCUGGCUCAGAUUGAACGCUGGCGGAAUGCUUUACACAUGCAAGUCGAACGGUAGAGGGGGCAACCCUUGAGAGUGGCGAACGGGUGAGUAAUAUAUCGGAACGUGCCCAGUCGUGGGGGAUAACGUAGCGAAAGCUACGCUAAUACCGCAUACGAUCUACGGAUGAAAGCGGGGGAUCGCAAGACCUCGCGCGAUUGGAGCGGCCGAUAUCAGAUUAGGUAGUUGGUGAGGUAAAGGCUCACCAAGCCGACGAUCUGUAGCUGGUCUGAGAGGACGACCAGCCACACUGGGACUGAGACACGGCCCAGACUCCUACGGGAGGCAGCAGUGGGGAAUUUUGGACAAUGGACGCAAGUCUGAUCCAGCCAUUCCGCGUGCAGGAUGAAGGCCCUCGGGUUGUAAACUGCUUUGUACGGAACGAAAAGGUUUGUCUUAAUACGAUGAGCUCAUGACGGUACCGUAAGAAUAAGCACCGGCUAACUACGUG